rnacentral:rRNA from 1 species
UCAGAUUGAACGCUGGCGGCAGGCUUAACACAUGCAAGUCGAGCGGUAGCACAGGGGAGCUUGCUCCCUGGGUGACGAGCGGCGGACGGGUGAGUAAUGUCUGGGAAACUGCCUGAUGGAGGGGGAUAACUACUGGAAACGGUAGCUAAUACCGCAUAACGUCGCAAGACCAAAGAGGGGGACCUUCGGGCCUCUUGCCAUCAGAUGUGCCCAGAUGGGAUUAGCUAGUAGGUGGGGUAAUGGCUCACCUAGGCGACGAUCCCUAGCUGGUCUGAGAGGAUGACCAGCCACACUGGAACUGAGACACGGUCCAGACUCCUACGGGAGGCAGCAGUGGGGAAUAUUGCACAAUGGGCGCAAGCCUGAUGCAGCCAUGCCGCGUGUGUGAAGAAGGCCUUCGGGUUGUAAAGCACUUUCAGCGAGGAGGAAGGUGGUGAGCUUAAUACGYUCAUCAAUUGACGUUACUCGCAGAAGAAGCACCGGCUAACUCCGUGCCAGCAGCCGCGGUAAUACGGAGGGUGCAAGCGUUAAUCGGAAUUACUGGGCGUAAAGCGCACGCAGGCGGUUUGUUAAGUCAGAUGUGAAAUCCCCGGGCUCAACCUGGGAACUGCAUUUGAAACUGGCAAGCUAGAGUCUCGUAGAGGGGGGUAGAAUUCCAGGUGUAGCGGUGAAAUGCGUAGAGAUCUGGAGGAAUACCGGUGGCGAAGGCGGCCCCCUGGACGAAGACUGAC